rnacentral:rRNA from 1 species
UAGAGUUUGAUCCUGGCUCAGGAUGAACGCUAGCUACAGGCUUAACACAUGCAAGUCGAGGGGCAGCAGGACGGUAGCUUGCUACUGUCGCUGGCGACCGGCGCACGGGUGAGUAACGCGUAUCCAACCUUCCCCUGAGUAGGGAAUAGCCCGGCGAAAGUCGGAUUAAUGCCCUAUGUUGUCCGACGAUAGCAUUUGAAUUGGAUGAAAGAUUUAUCGCUCAGGGAUGGGGAUGCGUCUGAUUAGGUUGCAGGCGGGGUAACGGCCCACCUGGCCGACGAUCAGUAGGGGUUCUGAGAGGAAGGUCCCCCACAUUGGAACUGAGACACGGUCCAAACUCCUACGGGAGGCAGCAGUGAGGAAUAUUGGUCAAUGGGCGAGAGCCUGAACCAGCCAAGUAGCGUGCAGGAAGACGGCCCUAUGGGUUGUAAACUGCUUUUGGAGGGGAAUAAAGUGGCGUACGUGUACGCCUUUGUAUGUACCCUCAGAAUAAGGACCGGCUAAUUCCGUGCCAGCAGCCGCGGUAAUACGGAAGGUCCGGGCGUUAUCCGGAUUUAUUGGGUUUAAAGGGAGCGCAGGCGGAGGUGCAAGCGUGCCGUGAAAGCGCGGGGCUCAACCCCGUACAGCGGCGCGAACUGCUCCCCUUGGUUGCGGGAAGGGAAGGCGGAACUCGUGGUGUAGCGGUGAAAUGCAUAGAUAUCACGAAGAACUCCGAUCGCGAAGGCAGCCUUCCGGCCCGUCAACGACGCUCAUGCUCGAAGGCGCGGGUAUCAAACAGAAUUAGAUACCCUGGUAGUCCACGCCGUAAA